rnacentral:lncRNA from 1 species
AACCCAGUCAGUUUUCACAGGAUCACCAACCAAAACCUUAAUCUGUUUGUUUUUCGGGAUCACAAACAAUCCAACUGGUUUUCACAGGCUCACCAACCAAAACCUUAACCCGCUUGUUUUUCGGGAUCACAAACAACCCAAUUAGUUUUCACAGGCUCUCCAACCAAAACCUUAACAUGUUUGUUUUUUGGGAUCACAAACAACCCAGCUAGUUUUCACAGGCUCACCAACCAAAACCUUAACACGUUUAUUUUUCGGGCUCACAAAUAACUCAACUGGUUUUCACAGGUUCACCAACCAUAACCAUAACACGUUUGUUUUUCGGGAUGAUAAACAACCCAGCUGGUUUUCACAGGCUCACCAACCAAAAUCUUAACCCUUGUUGAAUCUCCUAAUUCAACAACUUUCAAUUCAGGUUUGGAAGAACCUUUACCAAUUUCAGAAACAA